AGCUUCUUUCGCUGCAGGGCAGGUGUGAAACCCAGUCCGUGAAAGACCCUUGAGGUCCUCAUCUUGGCUUUGCUGGCAUCCAGCUCUUGCAGCUGCUCAUCCAGUUCCAUGAACAUCUCACGCUCCACAUCCUCCCGACCUAACUAAGCGCUCCGCCCCCCUCUCCAGAUGAGUCAUCUUCAAAGAUUGUGAUCCAUAUUGGCUGUUCCUGAAAAACUCUUUGGCUGAGUGCUUUCCACAUAGCUCAGGUUGGUCUCAAAGUCAUGGCUAUCCUCCUGCCUCAGAUUCUCCAGUGACUGGAUGACAGGCAUGUGCCACAUGGCACAACUUGGCCUGUUGUUUUGUUUUGAUUUUGGUACUGGGGAUUGAACCCAGACCUUUGCACAUGCUAGACAAGCAAUCUAUUCUUUUCUUUUUUUAUGGAUGUGUGUGGUUACCUACGUAAGGAUGUGUGUGCAGGAGCGACAGAGGUCAGAAGAGAGCACCACAUCCCCUGGAACUGGAGUUACAGGCAGAUGCAAGCUGCCAUCUUGGUGCUGGAAAUAAAUAUGCAACUUCUGUAAGAGCAGUACGUACUCUUAAUGGCUGAGCUCUCUUGAGUCCUCUGCUUGGACUUUUUAAAAACUAAUUUUAUUAGAGAAUACAUUACUUCCUUUCAGACCUAUGAGGAUAUGCCUUUUGCAAAGUAUUUCCUUUAUCCCUCUCCAGAAGAGAAAAGGAAACAGAAGUGGGGCCUGAUACAGAACUCCAACUCCUAUUAAUGGAUGCAAAGUGCCCAGGAUGUCAUAAAAUGAGCCCAGUCUUCGGCCAUAAACAAAAGGCAGUCUUGUGUGUUGGCUGCUGCACUGCCCUGUCAGCCUACAAAAGGAAAAGGAAGGCUGGCCGCUCCUGCAGGACACAGCACUAAAGGCGCCCUGGUUCAAGAUGAGUGGGAAACCAUCCCAGUAAACACAUCAUGAAUUUAAAACAAAACAGCAUUACUUCAAAUGAGAUAAUUUUAAAUAUAUAUUUUGAUGAAUUUG